rnacentral:lncRNA from 1 species
AAAUAAAGAUUAUUAUUAUUAUUAUUAUUAUUAUUAUUAUUAUUAUUAUUAUUCCUUUGGUCUUGUUAUAACUUUCUCUUUACGAUUAAUGCAGGAGGGGGUUGGACAACAUGGCCUUUAGGGGUCUCUUCCUACUCCAACAAGCUUCCAACAAUAAUUAUUCACAUCACAACAAUAAUUAUUCACAUCCUCCUGGGUUAUAAAUGUCACUUCCUAAUUAGUUCUAUCAUUAAAAAAUUUGAAUAAGUUUUUUAAACUGCAAAAACUUAUGUAGUAUUUGAAGGGCAUAUCCUGAGAUUGAUAUUUGCAGCAUUUUAAUGUUUUAAUGAUUUAUAUAGGGUUUUAAUGGCAUGUUUUAUAUUGUAUUUGAUGGUCUGGCUUUUGUGUAUUUGUUUGUUUGUCUGCAUGCAAAAGACCUAUGCUAUAAGCAUUAAAUAAAAUUGGAAUUUGGUAUUUGUUUUGGCGGGAGGGUCAUCCUGCCACACAUUUUGCUGGUUUUUUGCUAUAUCGUCCAGUCUCAACGAAUUCCACACUGUGGCAGCCACAAAAAUGAAGUUUCUGGCGUGUAACAACCACUUUCAAUGUAAGUACAACACAAUGAAACAGGAAAUCACACUUUCAAUACAGGAACAGAAAAUUUUUCAUAUUGUUACAUAGUGUUAUUUGUGCCUCUGUAGAAGUCCUGUGUUUUUGAGAGAGGUUCUCCUUCCAUCUCUUCUGAAAGUGUCCUAGACCUGACGUCACUCAUUCCCUGUCCUUUCCAACAUGGCCGCUUUCCACAGCCCUUUCCCUUCUAUUUGACCUUCUCGUCAUGGCCGACGAUUGGCUCUUCCUCCACUCCCUUCCCUUCGUCAAACAAGGAAGGGGCGUGGUCACAUCGCGCAUGCGCAAUGUCUGGGAUGGGCGUGUCCCUUGCCGCCAUUUUGUUGUGGCCGCCGGGCGGGCUGUUUCCGGGUUGGAAGGCCCUCAGCAGAGAGACCUUCUGAAGGAAGCUGACUACGGGAAUUGCAACCCUGGAAGGAUGCUGAGAAUGUGGUUAAACAAGUUUGGAGGAAAGCUUCAAACCGGUUUUAAGUAUGUAGACGUGAAAAGAAUGGCAUUUGUUAGGAGGCUUUUAAAAUUGUUUUUACAUAAGGUUUAUAUUCCAAAAUUGUGGAAAUCUGGACGCUUGUGCCUCAUUUCUAUUGUGUUUGGCAUCCAAGAGAAGGAAGGGUACAUCUGCCUUUUUAUUCCACCCUUGUUUUCUAUUUCCCAUUAUGUCUCUGAUUAAUUCAUGAAUUUAAAAAAUCUGAAAAGCAGAGGAAAGGUUAGUGGUAUUAAAGAAUGGUACAGCAUACAAAUGUUCUUCCAUAAUAUUUCUGUUUAGCCUUGAUUCUUAAAGAUUUCUUUUUCAAUCAAGCCAAACUUUUUGAUUUGCUUGUAGUUCUCUGAUGCAUUCUCUGUAUUACAGGACUUGGGGACUUUUGUAUAUAACUUGCGUAGUCUUUUAAGGCAUUUUAAACUAUAUAAGUCAUCAAAAUAAUCCCUAAUCUAUUAUACUUUGGUACAAUAGCUGGUGGGGAUGAUACAGAAUGUGGACAAAGCCUUUGGCAUGGAAUAGUGCAUUCUGUAUUCUGGCACCUUUUUCUAUUGUGUUUGCUGCUGUUUUUUGACAAAUUUGUA